CUCCGGUAAUUAUUAACUGGUGGCGUGUAAUUACCCCUGCCAUUCGUCAUUCAUGUUUUGGAUAUGAGGUAAUUUAAACCAUGGUGACACACCGCCCCGCCCAUCCCUCCGCCCUUCCUGCCCCAUCCCCACCUCUUCCCGUCCCGCCCAGCCCCGCCCCCAUCAUUAUUCAGAUUGUCCUGAUUGGUCAAAAAAAAUAUUCCCGCCAAAAGUAUUGACCAAUAAGGUUGUUAUUCCUAUGGAGCAAUCACAGCAAGCCUACGAGUGAAAUGUGUAUUUAAGAGAUAGGGGUUAGCGAGAUGUGUGAAGGACCGAGAGAACGGAGCAAUGGCUUGUGUUUCUGAGGUUGCUGAAAACCAAAGCUUCCCAUACCGGGAUUCGAACCCGGACCGUCUGGAUGAAAGCCAGAAAUCCUACGCGUUAGACCAUAUGGGAGGAUCUGUAGAAGAAGAGCACGAUGACGAGAAUCUAAAAAGGAUCAGAAUGUUUCAUUGUUGAAACUGUGACAGACUGUGAUGCUGUGACAGACGAAAGUGUGCUAUAUCAUACAUUUCAAACCUCGUCUCUCUCCUUCCCUUUCUGACCUGGACCUGGAUGCUUCAGUGCCCUGACUACAGAUAAACAGCAGAAUAGUUUAAUAAUGAGGAAAACUGACCAAAGUGGCAGGACAGUACAAAUAAAGAUGUUAUUGACAUUUAAGGGAAUGAACAUACAGAUUAUACAAUAGCCAAGAACUCCCAUCCAUGCAGCAGCAGAACAUGCCAGCCUGUAUCUCAGGGUCUUGUACUUCAGGAAAGUGACAGGAUGGACCACCGCCAUGUAACGCUCCACACAGAUCAAACAGAGAAACAGAGGACGGGCGCAGAUAAAUACUCCCCCAUAAAAACUACUAAUGGUGUAAAUUCUAAACAGACAAAACUAAGAACGUAGAAUAAACAGCGUAUGCAGAUGAACAUCUCGUUAACAGUCAGAUUGAGGCCGAAAAACUCAGACACAACCGCACUUCCUUUUCUCAUCAAAAUAAGCCAUAAGACGUAGGAAUUGAUAGGUAAACCCACAAUGAAAUUGAUUGCAUAACCUGGAAUGUACAUAGGGUCUGUAUAUCCUGCCCAAGGAUUCCUGCUUGUAGCAUUUCUAAACAGGUUUGAGAUGGGUGUGCUGGAAAGCCCAUCAGAGACGUUCAUCUUCAGAGUGCACACCCCUUCUCACAAUAAAAUAUGAAAUCUGAAAUAAAUUACACAAAGAAAAUUAUAUAAGGGCCAAAUAUAAUGAAACAAACAGCCUGUUUUCUUUAUCAGAACAAAUUCAUUGUAUAGUGUUUUUUUGUGCAUAGAUCUAGAUCAACAUAGAUCUAAAGUGUUCAGUUGAUAUAGUCAUGAUAAAUUUCAUAACUACCAUAGUAAACCAUAGUAAUGAUAGUACAGUUAAAAAGUGAUCUCAACUUUCAGUCAUAAACAGAAUGCAGGAUACCACAAGAAGAAUACAUUAGUAUAUUAAUUUAAUGGACUGACUAAUUAUCAAUUCACAUUAGUUUAAACAUUAUUAAUCAUUAUAUUUUAACUUAAUUAAAUUCUAAAUUCAUUAUAAUUUACAGCAUUCUUAAGCCUAAAUUGUACAAAUUAGUGUUGUGUAAAAUGUCUUAACUAGUAUUAUUUAACAAUGUUCAUUACUGUCAUAAGUACUGUGAUGCAUCCUUCCUGUAAAUUGUUUCUGAGUUCAGCAUUGUUGAGAACUGCACCCUUAAAAUGAUCAGUGUAUUGUUCUGAGAACAGCAACAUCUUUAUCUGAUACACAGAUGCUCUUCUUUGUCAUCAGUUUCAACUUAAAGUGAUGUUUAUUUGAUGGGGUAGGAUUUGGUGGUCUACUAGGUUUUGUAUAGUUAUUAGGGUUUCUCUA